AUUGGACGCUGGCGGCAUGCUUUACACAUGCAAGUCGAACGGCAGCGCGGGCUUCGGCCUGGCGGCGAGUGGCGAACGGGUGAGUAAUACAUCGGAACGUGCCCAGUAGUGGGGGAUAGCUCGGCGAAAGCCGGAUUAAUACCGCAUACGACCUGAGGGUGAAAGCGGGGGAUCUUCGGACCUCGCGCUAUUGGAGCGGCCGAUGGCAGAUUAGCUAGUUGGUGGGGUAAAGGCCUACCAAGGCGACGAUCUGUAGCUGGUCUGAGAGGACGACCAGCCACACUGGGACUGAGACACGGCCCAGACUCCUACGGGAGGCAGCAGUGGGGAAUUUUGGACAAUGGGCGAAAGCCUGAUCCAGCAAUGCCGCGUGUGUGAUGAAGGCCUUCGGGUUGUAAAGCACUUUUGGCGGGAACGAAAAGGACUGUGCCAAUACCACGGUUCGAUGGCGGUACCCGCAGAAUAAGCACCGGCUAACUACGUG
rnacentral:rRNA from 1 species